UAUCAAAUAAUUUAAACCCAUUGAUUGGAUCCAAAGCCGAGCUUAGAAUAAAGAGUUCCAUAGUUUGCUCUGGGAACCUACUAUUUAUCUCUGUCAAUUGAAAAUCUAUUACAACAUUAAAUAUAUCAAAGUGAUAAUGAUGCUCAACUGUAAUAUAAUCUUUUUGUUGACAAGAGCGUCUUGUACCUUCCAUAUAACGAACGCUCAUAUUAGCCACACU
rnacentral:lncRNA from 1 species